CUCUGUGAACCAGGAAGUAGGUUGUUAGCCAACAAACAAUUGAAAUAUUCGACGCCAUGAUUAUUUUUGGGAGAAAUUUCAUUUCUCCUUGAGUCAAAAUGGAAGUGUCCACCUCAGGAUUCCAAAUGCUGAGGAUCUUGAUGAAGGCCCUGCGGAACUCCACGUUGAAGGUGGUGUAUAUGAUGGGGUUGAGGGCGCUGUUGACGUAGCCUAGCCAGGUGAAGGCGCUAUAGAGGCCCGGUGGGACCGCGCAUGUCCUGCAGUGCGUGUUCAAGAUGUGCGUGACAAAGAAUGGCAGCCAGCAAAUGAGGAACACCCCUGAAAAGGUGACAGGUCGUGGUUGGUCUUGGCCGCGUCGUCCCGUAGACACGUCUCCUGUUGGAUCAGAAAG